rnacentral:rRNA from 1 species
GCAUGCUUUACACAUGCAAGUCGAACGGUAACAGGCCGCAAGGUGCUGACGAGUGGCGAACGGGUGAGUAAUGCAUCGGAACGUGCCCAGUCGUGGGGGAUAACGCAGCGAAAGCUGCGCUAAUACCGCAUACGAUCUAUGGAUGAAAGCGGGGGACCGUAAGGCCUCGCGCGAUUGGAGCGGCCGAUGUCAGAUUAGGUAGUUGGUGGGGUAAAGGCUCACCAAGCCAACGAUCUGUAGCUGGUCUGAGAGGACGACCAGCCACACUGGGACUGAGACACGGCCCAGACUCCUACGGGAGGCAGCAGUGGGGAAUUUUGGACAAUGGGCGCAAGCCUGAUCCAGCAAUGCCGCGUGCAGGAAGAAGGCCUUCGGGUUGUAAACUGCUUUUGUACGGAACGAAACGGCUCUGGUUAAUACCUGGGGCUAAUGACGGUACCGUAAGAAUAAGCACCGGCUAACUACGUGCCAGCCGCCGCGGUAAUUCAAGCCGAAUUCCAGC